AUCUAUAGCUGUCCCACCCUGAAAGUGGAAGGGAAGCAGGGUCAGGCCUGGUUUGAAGUCAGAUGGGAGACUGCUGGGAAUAUUGGAUGUUAAAGGCA
rnacentral:rRNA from 1 species